ACGGAGGGUGCAAGCGUUAUCCGGAAUCACUGGGUUUAAAGGGUGCGUAGGCGGUUAGAUAAGUCAGAGGUGAAAGCCCGCAGCUCAACUGUGGAAUUGCCUUUGAUACUGUCUGACUUGAAUCAGGUUGAGGUUGGCGGAAUGUGACAUGUAGCGGUGAAAUGCAUAGAUAUGUCAUAGAACACCAAUUGCGAAGGCAGCUAACUAGACCUGUAUUGACGCUGAGGCACGAAAGCGUGGGGAGCGAACAGG
rnacentral:rRNA from 1 species